CCAGCAGCAGCAGAGGAAGAGGAAGAAGGGCACCACCACCAGCAGCAGCAGCAGCAGCAGCAGCAGCAGCAGAGGAAGAGAAAGGACCACCACCACCACCAGCAGCAGAGAAAGAAGGACCACCACCACCACCAGGAAGUUUCAGCAGGGGAAGAAGACCACCAGCAGCAGCAGAGGAAAAGGAAGAAGGACCACCACCACCACCACCACCAGCAGCAGCAGCAGCAGCAGAGGAAGAGGAAGGACCACCACCACCACCAGCAGCAAAGGAAGAAGGACCACCACCACCAUCAGGAAGUUUCAGCAGGGGAAGAAGACCAGCAGCAGCAGCAGCAGCAGAGGAAGAAGGACCACCACCACCAG